GGAUUAGAUACCCUGGUAGUCCACGCCCUAAACGAUGUCAACUAGUUGUUCGGUGAGGAGACUCAUUGAGUAACGCAGCUAACGCGUGAAGUUGACCGCCUGGGGAGUACGGCCGCAAGGUUAAAACUCAAAGGAAUUGACGGGGACCCGCACAAGCGGUGGAUGAUGUGGAUUAAUUCGAUGCAACGCGAAAAACCUUACCUACCCUUGACAUGCCAGGAACUUACCAGAGAUGGUUUGGUGCUCGAAAGAGAGCCUGGACACAGGUGCUGCAUGGCUGUCGUCAGCUCGUGCCG
rnacentral:rRNA from 1 species